UGCAGUGAAACAUACAUGUGCAGUAGGCAGAGCGCCUGCCCGGGAGUGCAGCCGGCGUUCCCCCGCGCGCCCGGCGACCGCUCCGCUCCCGCAGCCGCCUCAGCCCCAGCCGCCGCCGCUGGCUCCGGGCGCGGAACAAGAGCCGAGGGCGAGCGCGAGCGCACGGCCCGCGAGCGCGGGGAGGGCAGGAAGCGCGUCAUCACUCAGGGACGGCGCGGCCCCGCGAGUCUCCGCACGGCUCCGGUUUGGACGCGGCUCCCGGCCGGGCCAGUGCUGGCGCUCCCGCGCCCCUCCUGGGUCUCUGCCCGCGGCCGGUGCUGGAGGGUCCGCGGGGGAAGGCGACGCGCCGGCCGAGCUGUCGCGGGAAGAGGGGCGCGCAGGGUGACCCCGGCUCCCCAGAAUUGGACCGCUGCUGUUCCUGGCUGGAUAGGGCCCAAUGGCUUCUCAUCAAGCAUCUCAAAAAUCAGUUCUUUUCCCAAAAAACUGGAUUUCAAGAUUUUCUGUCACUUAAUUCAACCUUCUCAAAGCAUCCCCAUGUUCUUCCACAGCCUGCCAAUGUGAUGUGGUUUAAUGCUAGACGGUAAGUCCCAUGACAGCAAGGACCUUAUCUGCAUCUUCGUGCAUACAAGAGGGCCUGGCACAUAGCGGGUGCUCAA